rnacentral:rRNA from 1 species
UAGGGAAUCUUCGGCAAUGGGGGCAACCCUGACCGAGCAACGCCGCGUGAGUGAAGAAGGUUUUCGGAUCGUAAAGCUCUGUUGUAAGAGAAGAACGUGUGUGAGAGUGGAAAGUUCACACAGUGACGGUAACUUACCAGAAAGGGACGGCUAACUACGUGCCAGCAGCCGCGGUAAUACGUAGGUCCCGAGCGUUGUCCGGAUUUAUUGGGCGUAAAGCGAGCGCAGGCGGUUUAAUAAGUCUGAAGUUAAAGGCAGUGGCUUAACCAUUGUUUGCUUUGGAAACUGUUAAACUUGAGUGCAGAAGGGGAGAGUAGAAUUCCAUGUGUAGCGGUGAAAUGCGUAGAUAUAUGGAGGAACACCGGUGGCGAAAGCGGCUCUCUGGUCUGUAACUGACGCUGAGGCUCGAAAGCGUGGGGAGCAAACAGG